rnacentral:rRNA from 1 species
UACGUAGGUGGCAAGCGUUGUCCGGAAUCACUGGGCGUAAAGGGCGCGUAGGCGGGUCAUUAAGUCAGAUGUGAAAUGUCCGGGCUUAACCUGGGAUAUGCAUUUGAAACUGGAGAUCUUGAGUGCAGGAGAGGGCAGUGGAAUUCCUAGUGUAGCGGUGAAAUGCGUAGAUAUUAGGAGGAACACCAGUGGCGAAGGCGGCUGCCUGGACUGUAACUGACGCUGAGGCGCGAAAGCGUGGGGAG